AAUCAACGCUGGCGGCGUGCCUAACACAUGCAAGUCGAGCGGGAAAAGGGGCUUCGGCCCCUGAGUAUAGCGGCGGACGGGUGAGUAACACGUGGGUAAUUUGCCCUUGGGUGUGGAAUAACUCAGGGAAACUUGAGCUAAUACCGCAUGACAUCCUUUUCUCACAGGAGUUGAGGAUCAAAGCCGGGGACCCUUCGGGGCCUGGCGCCUGAGGAGAAGCCCGCGCCCGAUUAGCUAGUUGGUGAGGUAAUGGCUCACCAAGGCUUCGAUCGGUAGCCGGCCUGAGAGGGCGGACGGCCACACUGGGACUGAGACACGGCCCAGACUCCUACGGGAGGCAGCAGUGGGGAAUUUUUGUCAAUGGGGGAAACCCUGAACAAGCAACGCCGCGUGAAGGACGAAGACCUUCGGGUUGUAAACUUCUGUCGGAGGGGACGAAAGCGGUCGAGGCUAACAUCCUCGGCCGUUGACGGUACCCUACGAGGAGGCCCCGGCUAACUCCGUGC
rnacentral:rRNA from 1 species